rnacentral:rRNA from 1 species
AUUGAACGCUGGCGGUAUGCUUAACACAUGCAAGUCGAACGGUAGCAGGCCUUCGGGCGCUGACGAGUGGCGGACGGGUGAGUAAUGCAUAGGAAUCUGCCUAUUAGUGGGGGAUAACGUGGGGAAACUCACGCUAAUACCGCAUACGCCCUACGGGGGAAAGCUGGGGACCUUCGGGCCUGGCGCUAAUAGAUGAGCCUAUGUUGGAUUAGCUAGUUGGUAGGGUAAAGGCCUACCAAGGCGACGAUCCAUAGCUGGUCUGAGAGGAUGAUCAGCCACACUGGGACUGAGACACGGCCCAGACUCCUACGGGAGGCAGCAGUAGGGAAUAUUGGUCAAAUGGGGCGCAAGCCUGAACCAGCCAUGCCGCGUGCAGGAAGAAUAGCCCUCUGGUUGUAAACUGCUUUUGACAGGGAAGAAAUCACUUAUGCGUAAGUGUCUGACGGUACCUGUAGAAUAAGCACCGGCUAACUCCGUGCCAGCA